UACGUAGGGACCAAGCGUUGUUCGGAUUUACUGGGCGUAAAGGGCGCGUGGGCGGCGUGACAAGUCACUUGUGAAAUCUCCGGGCUUAACUCGGAACAGCCAAGUGAUACUGUCGUGCUAGAGUGCAGAAGGGGCAAUCGGAAUUCUUGGUGUAGCGGUGAAAUGCGUAGAUAUCAAGAGGAACACCUGAGGUGAAGACGGGUUGCUGGGCUGACACUGACGCUGACAGCGCGAAAGCUAGGGGAGCAAACGGG
rnacentral:rRNA from 1 species